rnacentral:rRNA from 1 species
AGAGUUUGAUCCUGGCUCAGGAUGAACGCUGGCGGUAUGCCUAACACAUGCAAGUCGUACGAGAGUUUUUAACUCUAGUGGCGGACGGGUGAGUAACACGUGAGAAUUUGCCUUUAGGAGGGGGAUAACAAUCGGAAACGAAUGCUAAUACCCCAUAUGCUUUCGAGUGAAAUGGAUUUAUAUUUAUCCGCCUAGAGAGAAGCUCGCGGCUGAUUAGCUUGUUGGUAAGGUAAGAGCUUACCAAGGCGACGAUCAGUAUCUGGUUUGAGAGGACGAUCAGACACACUGGAACUGAGACACGGUCCAGACUCCUACGGGAGGCAGCAGUGGGGAAUUUUCCGCAAUGGGCGAAAGCCUGACGGAGCAAUACCGCGUGAGGGAAGACUGCCUAUGGGUUGUAAACCUCUUUUUUCAGGGAGGAAUAAAAUGACGUGUACCUGAAGAAUAAGCAUCGGCUAACUCCGUGCCAGCAGCCGCGGUAAGACGGAGGAUGCAAGUGUUAUCCGGAAUCACUGGGCGUAAAGCGUCUGUAGGUGGUUUGAUAAGUCAACUGUUAAAUCUUGAGGCUCAACUUCAAAAUCGCAGUCGAAACUAUUAGACUAGAGUAUAGUAGAGGUAAAGGGAAUUUCCAGUGGAGCGGUGAAAUGCGUAGAUAUUGGAAAGAACACCGAUGGCGAAAGCACUUUACUGGGCUAUUACUAACACUCAGAGACGAAAGCUAGGGUAGCAAAUGGGAUUAGAUACCCCAGUAGUCCUAGCCGUAAACUAUGGAUACUAGAUGUUGAACAGAUCGACCUGUGCAGUAUCAAAGCUAACGCGUUAAGUAUCCCGCCUGGGAAGUAUGCACGCAAG